AGUUAAUUAAUAAUAAUUAUAUUAUUAUUAAUUAUUAAAUUAUUAGUUUUAAGUGAGUAAAAUAAAAAAAAAGUAAAUUCCGGUAGUGUUUCGAAAAUAUUUAAACCGCGUGUGAUUUUAGUGUAAAUUUUUCAUUGCUUCAAGGACAACUCCAAAAUACAGCAAACAAAAGGUUAAUGGAAUUUGGAUCUCUUUUAUUAAACCUCAAAUGGUCAAUCUACUCAUUGAAGAAUUAGAUCAAACAUUAUGAUUUUGCGACAAGUUGACGACCUUCCUUUCACGGUGGAAAUUUUUUUUUUUUUUUUUUUUUUGACAUAGAAAGUCAUCAUUUCACUUGUAUGUGAUAAGAAAUCAACGACACAAUGCCUCUAUUGUAUGAUGAAAAUUAUCGCACGACGCAUAUCACUAUAUGUGAUGGUAUAUAUAAGAACCCAGAAAGUAGGCAACCUUUCAUACAUUUCAUCAUAGAUGUUUGCUUGCUUCCAUCUUAG